rnacentral:lncRNA from 1 species
UACACGUUGAUUCCAGCACACGGUUUUCCUUUGCUUGUAGCGGUGUAUUCAUUUUUUUAUUAUUAGAAGAGGAAGGUUGCGGUGAUUGAUGAUUGAAAGAGUAAACGUUCAUUUCCUUCUCGUUCAUUAAAGGCACACUGCAGCAACGUUUAUUUAAUUUGGAGUGAGGUUUUCAUUUAUUUUUCUUUAUAAAAAAAAGAAGCACACACAUUGCAUUUUGCAUUCAACUGGAGCAAGUUGUUGCUGCCACCUGCAGCUAUUAAUAUAGGAAAGCUAUUUCCAAUUUGCUUUGAAAGAUAGCUGCACAGUGAUUUCAAUUUGGAGCAAAAGAAAUUUCUUUUUCUUUUGUUGGUGAAGCACACGGUUUACAAGGCAGCAAAUUGUUUUAUUCAUUUUCCCUAUAUGGAGCAUUGCACACGGUGGUUUAUUUUAGACCUUCAUUUUCUUUCAGCAUUUUAGUUUAUUAGAAAAGCCUUUCAAUGGGAAGAAAUGGUGCAGCAGCCACCACAUAUCAUUUAGUUUAAUUGCUUUUAGGAUUUACUUUGCUGGGAGAUGCACAAGUGGUCAUAUGGAGUGUUAGAUAAAUUUGUGUCUUCUUAUUUUUCUUUGCUUUAAAAUAUUUUAAAUUGCAUCUUGAGUUGUUUUCAUUUUCUUAAUUUAGUGUUACAUUUUAAUAGCUUUAAUUGUGCUUAGAUAUUUGUUUGCUCUAGUAUUGGGUUUAGCAUUUUCACUCUCUGGACUCGAUUUUAAAAAACUAACUGCAACCACACCAGAGGUCCAAAUGCUACGUUUUAUAGGUCAAAUAAAAGAUAUUUGAGUCUAUUUUCUAGGAAAAAAAACUUCAUCUCAUUUAGAGCUCUGUAGAAAAGGUUAUGGGUAAAACAUUGAGCAAAGGUCAGAGCUGUCCAGUUCCAGCGUGAAUUUUCAUAUUUACUGUAGCAGUUUCGUUUUUACUGUUUUAAUUUCAUUUUCAUGCAUGGUGAAAUGUGUUGCUGCAUUUAAUUUCGUUUUAAUUGAAUUUAAUUAUGUUUUUUUUUACAUCUGCAUUUUAAUUUAAUUUCAUUUUAAUUUUUCCGCAUCCACAAACAACCUUUCAAACCCCCCCCCCCCACUGUGUUAGACCUGAUUCUGAACCGCGGUUUGGUCUUUGAGAGACGACCUAGGGUCAUUCCCUAGCUAUACUGCAUUCCUAAUAUGCAAUUAAAUUUGUAUGGGUUGCGACAGCCCAUCACUUACCCGUUUUAUAUUACUUGAUAACGAUCUGGUACGCUUGCCAGGGGCUUAACAUUGGCAAACCACAAAACUCGUCUAGACACAUCAUGGAUCAGUGCCGAGGGCAAAAUAGUACCCCUCAGCAUCACCUGCAAAGAAAAAUCACAAAAACCAAAUCUGGAGGCUAUCGCUUAGCGGUGGCCAGCGCUCAGCGCUAUCAGAUGGAAUUUUUCAAAAUCAACCCUAAGUGCUUCUAAUCUCCACCCACAUGCAAAUUUCAUCAUUCCAGACCAUAAUCAUACAAUUUAAUCAGUCCAAACAAUUUCUCUUUCAACUAAUCAUGCAUAAAAAUCAAAAGCCCUGAACUUUCAUGCUUGGACAAUUAUUCUCAUAUAAAUUCAUGCUUUGAAACCCUAGAAUGUAAAAUGUAUGACUUACUUGGGUGGAGAGACUUUCAAUGUGUGCAAAGUGCUUGUUAAUUGAUGAUGGAUGAAACCCAAAUGUUGUGUUCCCUCAAAAGCCCUAAACUUUAAUAGUGGAAUGGUGCAAAGAUGGUGGAGAAUGUAUUUUUGAGAAGUAGGAUGAAAGGAAAAGUGAGGAGAGUGACUUAGAAGAGUGUUUAAGAGUGACAAAGCAAGUGGGGAUCUGAAUAGAAGGCUUGGGCAAACCCUAAGGGGGGUUAAAGUGUGCAAUGGGCAAGUCACACUAAGUCCAACUUAAAAAACAAAAUCCAAAUCUGCAGCGCCACCGCUCAGUGCUAGGUACCGCUGAGUGGUGGGCGCAAUUUUAAAUCUUUCCUUUUUUUAUUUGACCAAAAUGCAUGAUGGUACUGUUUGCAAAAUUUAAAGGGAUAAG